rnacentral:rRNA from 1 species
ACCUCAAGUCAUGUGAGAGUACCCGCUGAACUUAAGCAUAUCAAUAAGCGGAGGAAAAGAAACUAACAAGGAUUCCCCUAGUAACGGCGAGUGAAGCGGGAAGAGCACAAAUUUAAAAUCUACCUGGUUUUCAGGUCGAGUUGUAAUUUGAGGAUACGUUUUUGACGUUCUGGGUUGGACUAAAUCCUUUGGGAUAAGGUAUCAUAGAGGGUGAGAAUCCCGUAUAUACCAACCGUAGGGAUGUUAUUAAAUACGUUUCUAAGAGUCGAGUUGUUUGGGAAUGCAGCUCUAAAUGGGUGGUAAAUUUCACCUAAUGCUAAAUAUAAGCGAGAGACCGAUAGCGAACAAGUACAGUGAUGGAAAGAUGAAAAGAACUUUGAAAAGAGAGUUAAAUAGUACGUGAAAUUGUUGAAAGGGAAACGAUUGAAGUCAGUCAUGCCGGUGGGAAUCAACUUAGGGGAAACUCUGGGUGCACUUCUUCGCUUGGCAGGUCAACGUCGAUUUUGAAUGUCAUAAAAUAAUUGGGGGAAGGUAGCUCCUUCGGGAGUGUUAUAGCCCUUGAUAGAUGUGAUGUUUGAGGUCGAGGAUUGCAACGGAUACCCUUCGGGGCUAGCUGCCUGAUCUCUAAUUGGUGUUGGGUUACGGAUAGCAUGCUGACCGUGAUCUAAUUACUGGUUAAAAGGUUAGAGUGUGCAUAAAUUCGUUAAGGACGUUGACGUAAUGGCUUUAAACGACCCGUCUUGAAACACGGACCAAGGAGUCUAACAUGUAUGCGAGUGUUAGGGUAUUAAACCCAGACGCGAAAUGAAAGUGAGUGUAGGUGGGAUCCUUUAUUGGAGCACCAUCGACCGAUCUUGAGAUUUAUCGAUAGAAUUGAGUUAGAGC